rnacentral:rRNA from 1 species
UGCAAGUCGAACGAGGGAGCAAUCUCUAGUGGCGAACGGCGGAGUAAUACAUGAACAACGUGCCCUGAAGUCUGGGACAAACGCAGAAAUGCCAUAAAUACCAGAUGUGGCGAAGAGGUGGCAUCACCCUUUCGUUAAACGGUUUUUCGCUUCAGGAGCGGUUCAUGGCCUAUCAGGUAGUUGGUGGGGUAAUGGCCUACCAAGCCGACGACAGGUAGCGGGUCUGAGAGGAUGAUCCGCUCGAGUGGGACUGAGACACGGCCCACACACCUACGGGUGGCAGCAGUUGGGAAUCUUGCACAAUGGGGGAAACCCUGAUGCAGCGACGCCGCGUGGAGGAUGAAGGAUCUAGGUCUGUAAACUCCUUUUAUCGGGAAAGACUUAGGACGGUACCCGAUGAAUAAGGACCGGCUAACUACGUGCCAGCAGCCGCGGUAAGACGUAGGGUCCAAGCGUUGUCCGGAUUUACUGGGCGUAAAGAGCGCGUAGGCGGUCUGUUAAGUGAGAAGUGAAAGCUCCGGGCUCAACUCGGAAACUGCUUUUCAUACUGGCAGACUGGAGGGAUGUAGAGGUAUGUGGAAUUCCUGGUGUAGCGGUGAAAUGCGUUGAUAUCAGGAGGAACACCCAUGGCGAAGGCAGCAUACUGGGCAUCAUCUGACGCUGAGGCGCGAAAGCGUGGGUAGCAAACAGGAUUAGAUACCCUGGUAGUCCACGCCCUAAACGAUGGAUACUAGGCGUAAGGGGUAUCGACCCCCCUUGUGCCGCAGCUAACGCACUAAGUAUCCCGCCUGGGGAGUACNGGCCGCAAGGUUGAAACUCAAAGGAAUUGACGG